UACGUAGGGUGCAAGCGUUAAUCGGAAUUACUGGGCGUAAAGCGUGCGCAGGCGGCUUUGCAAGACAGAUGUGAAAUCCCCGGGCUUAACCUGGGAACUGGAUUUGUGACUGCAUGGCUAGAGUGCGGCAGAGGGGGAUGGAAUUCCGCGUGUAGCAGUGAAAUGCGUAGAUAUGCGGAGGAACACCGAUGGCGAAGGCAAUCCCCUGGGCCUGCACUGACGCUCAUGCACGAAAGCGUGGGGAGCAAACAGG
rnacentral:rRNA from 1 species